UUGGAUGUGUGCGUUCAUAAGGGGCUAC
rnacentral:sRNA from 1 species